rnacentral:rRNA from 1 species
UCCGUAGGGUGCAAGCGUUAAUCGGAAUUACUGGGCGUAAAGCGAGCGCAGGCGGUCGUGUAAGACAGAUGUGAAAUCCCCGGGCUCAACCUGGGAACUGCAUUUGUGACUGCACGGCUAGAGUGCGUCAGAGGGGGGUGGAACUCCACGUGUAGCAGUGAAAUGCGUAGAGAUGUGGAAGAACACCGAUGGCGAAGGCGGCUCACUGGUCCGGUACUGACGCUGAGGUGCGAAAGCGUGGGGAGCAAACAGG